rnacentral:rRNA from 1 species
UACGGGGGGAGCAAGCGUUGUUCGGAUUUACUGGGCGUAAAGGGCGCGUAGGCGGCUUAACAAGUCACUUGUGAAAUCUCCGGGCUUAACUCGGAACGGCCAAGUGAAACUGUCAAGCUAGAGUGCAGAAGGGGCAAUCGGAAUUCUUGGUGUAGCGGUGAAAUGCGUAGAUAUCAGGAGGAACACCUGAGGUGAAGACGGGUUGCUGGGCUGACACUGACGCUGAGGCGCGAAAGCCAGGGGAGCAAACGGG